rnacentral:rRNA from 1 species
AACGUAGGAGGCAAGCGUUAUCCGGAUUUAUUGGGCGUAAAGGGUGUGUAGGUGGUCUUGUUAGUCUUCUGUGAAAUUCUUCGGCUUAACCGGGGGUCCGCAGGGGAAACGGCAGGACUAGAGGAUGCGAGAGGUGUGCGGAACUCAUGGUGUAGGGGUGAAAUCCGUUGAUAUCAUGGGGAACACCGAAAGCGUAGGCAGCACACUGGCGCACUCCUGACACUGAAACACGAAAGCGUGGGUAGCGAAUGGG